rnacentral:rRNA from 1 species
AAACUCAAAGGAAUUGACGGGGGCCCGCACAAGCGGUGGAGCAUGUGGUUUAAUUCGAUGAUACGCGAGGAACCUUACCAGGGCUUGACAUAUAUAGGAUAUAGUUAGAGAUAAUUAUUCCCCGUUUGGGGUCUAUAUACAGGUGCUGCAUGGUUGUCGUCAGCUCGUGCUGUGAGGUGUUGGGUUAAGUCCCGCAACGAGCGCAACCCUUGUUAUCUGUUACCAGCAUGUAAUGGUGGGG